ACUCCUACGGGAGGCAGCAGUGGGGAAUAUUGCACAAUGGGCGCAAGCCUGAUGCAGCCAUGCCGCGUGUAUGAAGAAGGCCUUCGGGUUGUAAAGUACUUUCAGCAGUGAGGAAGGUGGGUAUGUUAAUAGCAUACUCAUUUGACGUUAGCUGCAGAAGAAGCACCGGCUAACUCCGUGCCAGCAGCCGCGGUAAUACGGAGGGUGCGAGCGUUAAUCGGAAUUACUGGGCGUAAAGAGCUCGUAGGCGGUUUGUCGCGUCGUCUGUGAAAUUCUGCAACUCAAUUGCAGGCGUGCAGGCGAUACGGGCAGACUUGAGUACUACAGGGGAGACUGGAAUUCCUGGUGUAGCGGUGAAAUGCGCAGAUAUCAGGAGGAACACCGGUGGCGAAGGCGGGUCUCUGGGUAGUAACUGACGCUGAGGAGCGAAAGCGUGGGUAGCGAACAGGAUUAGAUACCCUGGUAGGAUAGCGU
rnacentral:rRNA from 1 species